UACGAACUGUGCAAACGUUAUUCGGAAUCACUGGGCUUACAGGGUGCGUAGGCGGCCAGACAAGUAGGGUGUGAAAGCCCCCGGCUUAACCGGGGAAUGGCGCCCUAAACUGUAUGGCUGGAGUGAGAUAGGGGUGUGCGGAACUUCCGGUGGAGCGGUGAAAUGUGUUGAUAUCGGAAGGAACGCCGGUGGCGAAAGCGGCACACUGGAUCUCAACUGACGCUGAGGCACGAAGGCCAGGGGAGCAAACGGG
rnacentral:rRNA from 1 species